rnacentral:rRNA from 1 species
GUGUCAGCCGCCGCGGUAAUACGUAGGGUGCAAGCGUUAAUCGGAAUUACUGGGCGUAAAGCGUGCGCAGGCGGUUAUGUAAGACAGGUGUGAAAUCCCCGGGCUUAACCUGGGAACUGCAUUUGUGACUGCAUAGCUAGAGUACGGUAGAGGGGGAUGGAAUUCCGCGUGUAGCAGUGAAAUGCGUAGAUAUGCGGAGGAACACCGAUGGCGAAGGCAAUCCCCUGGACCUGUACUGACGCUCAUGCACGAAAGCGUGGGGAGCAAACAGGAUUAGAUACCCUGGUAGUCC